GUAAUAUUUACAUUUAUUUUUUAUUUAUGCUACAUUAUUACAGAUAAUUUGCCUACUGUUAUUAUAAUAAUAAUAUUAUUUACCGUAUUGCUUCCAUAUACCGCAAUAACUGUACAGUUGUUGUUAUAUUAAUUAUUUAUCAAUCAGUAAUUCUGGUAGCUUAAAUUUGACGCUUUUGAUCUAUAGCAAAAUAUUGUAAAUAUUACGAUGGAAAACAUAGAAAAGUAUAUUCCGGUGUGUGAAUGCGAAGGCGAAGAUUUUAUGGAGAUACCGUUGGAAAGUGACGGUACUCUUUCAACAGCUACACUGAGCGCAUAUUUUCCCGGAGUCACAGGUCUCAAGUUCCGUCUCGAUUCGUAUUCACCGUACAGAGCACUUAGACUGUACGACGGUAAAUUCCACGCUCCAGAAGGCAGUUGGGCUGGUCAUAAAUUCUAUUGUGUCCAUCCUAAGGGCGAUAAGAGAAAACUUGAAGAGACUGACUGCAAACCGUCUAAAGGUUACCAUAGUAUGAGUUGUACGGAUCUAAUUGUUCUUGGUUUACCCUAUCAACUAUCAGAAACUCAAAUGCGAGAAUAUUUUGUACAAUUUGGAAAACUAGUCAUGGUUCAGAUAAAGCGAGAUGCAUCUGGAAAUUCUAAAGGAUUUGGUUUUAUUCGAUAUGAAGAUUAUAGUUCUCAGGCAAAAGCCCUUGGACAGCGACAUUAUGUUAAUAAUCGAUGGGUUGAAGUCAAAAUACCUGCCUCAAAAGAAGGAUAUUAUUCUAAAGUACCCCACAAGAUAUUUGUAGGCCGCCUUACUGAAGAUAUUAGUGAACCAGAUUUAAGCAAAUAUUUCUCUCAGUAUGGCGAAAUCACUGAUGUAUUCAUACCAAAACCAUUUAGAGCCUUUGGUUUUGUUACCUUUAACGAUGCCUCUGUAGCACAAAGCCUCUGUGAUGAAGAUCAUAUUGUUAAAGGAGUAUCCCUCCAUAUAUCUGAAGCAAAUCCUAAGUCUGACCAAAACAGGGAUAAACAAGUUAGUAACCAACAACAAUAUAUGAGCAGUGUUCUAACAAACGGAAUGCUAGCUGCUGCACUUAACCAAGUUGCAUAUCAAACACAACCAAUUCCUUACCAAACCCAUCGUACGUAUGGAAAAGUACAAGACUGGAAACGCCGGGUUUACGACAUGUGAGCGAGAGCGUGUGGUAUUAAUAUGAAUGAUGGAUGUAUCAGCCUAGUCAUCAGUAUUAAAGAUCAUACAAAUUCUGAACCCUCGAAUGCAAUUUCUUUAUUUAUUUAGGUUACUUUAGUUACUAAAAAAAAAAAAUAUCCUAUUUGUAAAAUCAAAAUAAAUAUUAUAUUGAUUAUACAACUGUUGUACCUUUGCAUUUUCUGUAAUCUAUAAUUAUAUGUUGACAUUUAAUAAAGUGUAUAAAUAUUUCAUAA
rnacentral:misc_RNA from 1 species